GACAAAUGAUGCAAGAUAGUAUUUUUGGAUAAAGUUAACCGAUAUUUAGGAUUGAAGAUUUAUAUUUUUAGGUGAAAUUUUAAUUGGAAAUUAAGACAAAGUUUAGUUAGGUGAAACUUGGAAGGCUGGGGGAGAAACUAGGAUUAGAGACCCUACUAUUCCGGAAGUUAUAAGAAGUCCUGAGUAGUAAAAGAUACGGGCUUAAAACUCAAAAAAUUUGGCGGUGGUUUAACUAAUCAGAGGAAUUUGCCCCUUAAUCGAUAGUCCUCGUUAUAUUUAACUUAGGGAUGCCGUCAGCUUGUAUACCGCCGUCAUCAGGAGAUUUUUAGAAAAUAUCUUCAAGGGUCUUUUAAGGAGUAUGUCAGGUCAAGGUGCAGCUAAUACCUAAGAGGAGGUGAAUUACAAUAAAAUAAUUUAAUACGGAUUGCUAAGUGUAAUCUAGGUAUGAAGGUGGAUUUGGCAGUAAUACUUCUAAUAGAGGAGGUAUAAUAGAAGCUCUAAACCGUGCACACAUCGCCCGUCGCUCUCGUGUACAAUGAG
rnacentral:rRNA from 1 species